AACGAACGCUGGCGGCAUGCCUAACACAUGCAAGUCGAACGAGACCUUCGGGUCUAGUGGCGCACGGGUGCGUAACGCGUGGGAAUCUGCCCUUGGGUUCGGGAUAACAGUUGGAAACGACUGCUAAUACCGGAUGAUGACUUCGGUCCAAAGAUUUAUCGCCCAGGGAUGAGCCCGCGUCGGAUUAGCUAGUUGGUGGGGUAAAGGCCUACCAAGGCGACGAUCCGUAGCUGGUCUGAGAGGAUGAUCAGCCACACUGGGACUGAGACACGGCCCAGACUCCUACGGGAGGCAGCAGUGGGGAAUAUUGGACAAUGGGCGAAAGCCUGAUCCAGCAAUGCCGCGUGAGUGAUGAAGGCCUUAGGGUUGUAAAGCUCUUUUACCCGGGAUGAUAAUGACAGUACCGGGAGAGUAAGCCCCGGCUAACUCCGUGCCAGCCGCCGCAGUAACAC
rnacentral:rRNA from 1 species